rnacentral:tRNA from 1 species
GGGAAUGUAGCUUAGUGUAGAGCACUUGCCUAGUAUACAUGAGGCUAGGGGUUCCAUUCCCA